rnacentral:rRNA from 3 species
GGUCUGAGAGGAUGAUCCGCCACACUGGGACUGAGACACGGCCCAGACUCCUACGGGAGGCAGCAGUGGGGAAUAUUGGACAAUGGGGGGAACCCUGAUCCAGCCAUGCCGCGUGUGUGAAGAAGGCCUUUUGGUUGUAAAGCACUUUAAGCGAGGAGGAGGCUACCGAGAUUAAUACUCUUGGAUAGUGGACGUUACUCGCAGAAUAAGCACCGGCUAACUCUGUGCCAGCAGCCGCGGUAAUACAGAGGGUGCAAGCGUUAAUCGGAUUUACUGGGCGUAAAGCGCGCGUAGGUGGCCAAUUAAGUCAAAUGUGAAAUCCCCGAGCUUAACUUGGGAAUUGCAUUCGAUACU